GGACGAGGCAUUGAAUAAUCAAAAGAACAAAUGGCAUAAAGCGUUGGAGAUAUCUAAUGUUCAUAAAACUAACGGAGGGUAAGUUUUUCUUCUUUUCUACAUUGUAAUAUGUAAUAUCUUGUCGGGUUAGGUUUUUAUCGAGCUUUAAUAGGCCCAAGGACCCACCUUUAUGAGGGUUAAUUUUUUCAGCAAAACAGCAGAGAAAAAAAGGCAGCGGUGACGGUUUCAGAACAGAACAGAAAUAGCGGCAGAACAGACAGAAUACAGAGAACAGAGCAGUUUUUUCCUGUGCGACCAGAGCUAGAUCAACCCUCAAUUGGGAUGUCAAACGAACUCCGAUCGGGAUGAAACUUUGGCAACAGCUUUAUCACACGUGGGGCUCUGUUCUGAACGGCUGCAAGUCUUUUCGAAAUGGCAGGGACAAACUAAUGACAUGCAUAAUUUGCUAAGGAAUUCGUCAGGAAGGUUUCGGUGGAGCUGAAAGUGAAAAAAAAAAUACGUGACUGGGAGCCUAGUUGAGAGGAUUGAUGAGCAAGAUGCUCUUAUAAGCUUGUUGGAUCUAAAGUCCUCUCAUGAUGUUCGGUUGGUCUGGAUCCAUGGAAUGGGGGCUAUCCGUAAGACAACACUUGCCAAGGCUGUUUUCAACCGACUCUGUGAUCACUUCGACGGCCGCUGCUUUCUUCUAGACGUGCGAGAAACAACCAAGUGCAAAGGUAUUGAACAUUUGCAGAGACAACUGUUGCAAGAUCUUGGUGUUAAAUCAGCAGACAUCACCGACAGCAAUUGUUUAAAAAGGAUCCCAGUAGCAAUCGAGGACCUUUCUUCCUCGGUACUCACAUCCAAUACUUGGAAGGUGGAACUUGAAGGUCUCUACUGGUCGAGAAUUGAUAGUGUCAGUGUAUGGUCAGAAGAGAAUUGGCCGCAGUACGUGUUGACGAACUGGCCUCAUGACAAUGAUACCUAGAGAAGAAGAAGAGAACUGGCCGAGUCUCCGCUUGCAGCCCGUAGCUGGAGGUCGAGGAAAAUACAUUCAGGCCUAAUGGACGCGAAGCCCAAAAUACGGGCAGCUCAGCGAGCAUAUUGUCGGACAGCAGGACAAUGCAUCGAGCUACCCAGCAGGUCCGACAGUAAGAAUUAAAUUUGGGACCAGACUGAAACCGCGUGAUAUUUUAAGUCGUCACAACUUCUAAGCCGGAAUAGACUAAAACCGUGUUAAUUUAAUUAGUUUUCUGCACUUGUAUUGUUACAGUCAAACAAAAAUUAAGGAGACAAGAUCAAUCAUAUACUGUCGGCCUCGCUUGAGCACAUUCACAUACCGCUAGCACGAGUUAGCAGGUACCCAAACCUUGCAGAUCAUCAUCAUCUUCCGGUUUUGUUUCUCGAUCCAAACUUUUCAUGUAAAUGAAACAGAGCAAUACAACAAUGGAGGUUAUUGUU